UUGUCAUUUCUGUGUGAUGUCAGCUUUUUCUUUUUUUGUAUUUCCUGUCUUCAGCUGCUCAGCUUCUUCUCUGUUGCAAUGGCUGACCGCGACACCAUGUUCCUCCUGCUCUGUCUCCUGGGCCUUAGUCUUCAUGCCUACAGCUUCACGGUGACAUCUCCCGGUGGUGACACAGUGAACCUGAACUGCUCGUACCCUAAUGGCUCAUCGAUGCUCUGGUACAGACGACUCCCUGACCGGCCUCCUCAGCCUCUGCUGCAGACAUUCAGCCCUAAAUCAUCAAGCUGCACUUUCUACAUUGAGUCGGGAGGACACUUCACUGUGAAGGAAAAUCACACUUUGGUCAUCCAUAAUGUAUCAAGUAACGACACGGCAACUUAUUACUGUGCAAGGCUGGAAACGGACGUGUGCCGCUUCGCUGAAGGGAUCGACCUCAGAGUGGACGAUCAAGGCUCAAGAACAACACAUAUCAUUUUUGAAGCAUGGCAGCCAUCCAGAGUACCACAAAGCAAAGAGAAUGCCCAGAAACGCGGCUUUGAUUCCGAGACACCAUCCACAAGCAAGGAGCUGGAAAGUGAAUACCAGGAGCUGACACACAAGCACCAGGAGCUGUAUGAGAUGUGCCACCAACCCCAGGACCUGAGGAAGAUGAAGAGGGGAGCAGACAGAGAGCACAAAAAAUAGUCCAUUUUGUGCAGCAGAGAUGGAGCUCAAUUCCAGUUAUAAAUUAAGAUCUUGUCUCAAUUCUGGUGGUAAUGGUGGUGUGAGAUUCCUUCUAUUUUAUGGCUGGGUCUAAUGAAAUUAGUAUGGGGCAAAAAUGAUGCUGCAUUGAUGUGCAAAACUGUAGUAUUAUAUGAACUUAGGAAUGAAUUGGAAAAUAAAAAGAGGUCCAGUACAAUGUGAACAAAAUGACAAAAUAGUUUAAGAGACAAGAUCCUUGGACCUUGGAAGAACAGACUAUCAAUAUUAUAAAUAUUACAAUGACAAGAAGAAAAUAACAGGUUGGAGACCACCUUGGUAACCCUGCUUAAAGUUUGAAAUGAAAAUUGAAGAAAAAAAAAAAAGAUUGGGAUUACAACAGACUGAACUCGAAACUCUCUUAGAAAGAAAUAGCCUCUGUAGAAAAAGCUGCUGUACGUCUUCUCUAGCUGCGAAUUUGAAAAUGAAUGCCGAGUCCUGGUUCGUUAUCUUUUAAUAUACCUGGCAAGGUGGUGUCUUGCUGAUGAAAGGAUGUGUGUAUUUUUACUGAGCUAACUGGGAGAAAAAAAUGAAACUGAAAAAAAUAAAUAAAUAAAAAUAAACCUAGCUACCAAAUGCUAACGAUGGGUACAAAUUGAAGUCGAGAAAACAAGUUCAAACCAAACAAAACUCUUGAGAAGCACUAAAGCAAGGGAUUCUUUUUUAAAAGGUUGUAUCCGCAGAUUGGGUAACAAAAAGAGCCUCCAGCAAACAGUUUAUCCCAUCGCACUGAUUACCCGCGGGUCACGCCCCUGAAGCCACACCCCUAGAAACAUGGGAUGUGAUGCGGAUGACGGCCCUCAAAUUGGUGGCAAUAGAAGGACCUCAAAAUGGUCGUUAAAAUAUUAGAAUUUACAAAGUAAAA